GACUCGCUACGCGGCAGAUAGUAGUCGCUGGCAAAGCACACUUCUCGGCAGCAGCCGCGAGAACGGUGGGAGAGGGGACAAAAUAAAAAAAAAGCGCUGAAAGAGAGAGAGGAGAAGGAGGAAGAGAGGAAAAGGGGUGAGCGGGAGGGAAGGAGAGAGAGAAGGAGAGAAACAGAGGUCAAAGCGCGAAGAAAAUCCGCUACACGUGUCGUUCCGGAAACGUAGAAGGCAGAAGCGGCAACAGCAGACGUAUGACAAAGAGAAGAUACCGGUCGCAUCGAGAUAAAUCGGUGGAGUAUCUCGGGACGCGAGAAAGUGGCCCGUCGCGAGUGAUAGUAUAUCGUUGCGUGUUUCGUGCGGUUCCGGUCACAUGGCAGUCUGUAUCCCUUCUCCUCCGAACUCGCGGGGGUUCCUUCGGCGGCGGUGGGGAUGUCAACCGUGAUUGGGAGGGAUGUAGGAAAGGGGAAACGGUUCCCUCUACGAUAGAAGAGGAGGAGAUAGAAGAUGACAACAAGAGUGAGGAGGACAGGACGAAGUCGAAGAGGACGUUGCUUCAACAUCGUUAAUGACCGCGUGAGGAACACAACUGGCACAGCGAAAAAGUGGGAAAAGCGAUUACGAGAAUCAGCGUUGCUCGGGCUAAGGAGUGCGCGGUCGUUCUAACAGACGAUGGACGCGUAACGCCGCGGUCUGGGCCCGUAAGCUCGUUACGCCUGUCGGAAGUAUAAAUCAACCGCAAAGUUAUUCCGCCGUGUUGUCGGGAACUCCCCGUAGGGCGCCUCGCUGGAAACUGCUACCACCUUCUUGCCCGGGAUAACGUUCGCCCAAAGGGAUACUGGGCAGGAACGCGGAGGAAAGUCGGGAAGACGAUAAUCAAGAGGAAACCGCGGAAGGAUAUUCUUAACUUCGGGAAACGAAUUUAUUCUUCGCGUAACUUCUGCUCCACAGUGGAAUUUAGCGAGUAAUAGUAUCUCGCGCUUCUCGCAAUAUCACAAUAAAUAAAUAUUCCAACACGCCAGGAGUUCUUAUCUUACCCGGCAAAGACCGCACGAUGCAAAGGCGAUAACAACGGGCUUGCUAAUCCGCCAAUCAAGUUAAUUGGAGCACGAACUUCCGCGCUAACAAAAAACGUAGUCGAACGUGUCAGCCUCGGAACAUUAAUCAAGAACGGGGUGAAAAGAUAAUAUUAACGCGAGCCGGCAACGGUGGCCAACAUUAAAGAACCUCGCCUUAUUUCCUCGUCUUCAGUGGUGUACUUGAAAUUUCAGGACUCUUUGAAAAAUCCUGUCUCACUCUUGUUAAUGUCAAACAUGAACUUCAUAUUAUUUUUAAGUGUCACUAAGAUUAGUAUAGAGUAAGUACUAUUUUAGCAUCUGAGAUAGUAUACGAGAAAAAUUCUGAAACCUUUCAAAAAAUACUAGCUAUAACUAUAUUUUCUAACAAUAUAUAUUCAAUUUAAAAUUUCUAACAAUAUAUAUUCAAUUUAAAAUAUUCAUAACAAUGUAAGAUUUAAUUUACAGAUCCUACCUCUCUUUGGGAGAUUUUUUGUUCUUGAUUUCUACCGAUUACAUAAAUAAAAGA